rnacentral:sRNA from 1 species
GUUGUAAGGUCCCCACAUCCCUACCAGCUUCCACAGGCCUUGGCCCCCCAUGUGGACUUUGGUAACACCUAUGGGGUGAAUGGAGGUUGGGGCACACAGAUCCAGGGGCUGAGGAAGUUUAGAUGCCAUUGGGGACUGGGGGUGGGGUGAGUUGUAAGGUGGGCAUUACAGUCUAUAAGAUCUCCUCAAGCCUGACUUCUCCCUACAGUGGGGGGACUGCACCGUUUUCCCCCAACAUCAUCCCUGAGGCAACAUCCUGAGCCGCAGGUGACAGGGACUGUAGGCCUGCAUCUGGGGGUGACCCCCUCUGUGAUCCGUAAGCGAUAUAACUUGACCUCACAAGACGUGGGCUCUGGCACCAGCAAUAACAGCCAAGCCUGUGCCCAGUUCCUGGAGCAGUAUUUCCAUGACUCAGACCUGGCUCAGUUCAUGCGCCUCUUCGGUGGCAACUUUGCACAUCAGGCAUCAGUAGCCCGUGUGGUUGGACAACAGGGCCGGGGCCGGGCCGGGAUUGAGGCCAGUCUAGAUGUGCAGUACCUGAUGAGUGCUGGUG